rnacentral:rRNA from 1 species
CGGAGCCCCGAAGGCCACUCUGACUCGCGCUCUUCCCUCUCUGUCCCUCUGGCUCCCAACCAAGAAAUAGCCACGACGGCGACACGUCUAGGUAGACGGAACGGAACCGGUUGCGUGCUGUACGGAGCAUGGGGCUCCUCGACCAGCUCUGGGACGAGACUGUCGCCGGCCCGCGGCCGGACCACGGCCUCGGCAGGCUCCGCAAGUACUCCUCCUUCUCGCCCUCGACCGCGGCGGCCGCGGACGUCGCGCCGGCGGUGACCCACAGCAUCACUAUCGCCCGGCCGCCAUCUCUCUCGGUGCCAUCCGGCGAAUCAAGCUCCGUGCCGCCGUCCCCGGCCAGCGCGCCGGACUCCCCGUUCGCAGCAGCUACCAGUAGCAUACGGAAAGUGGACGGAUGGAGGGCGUUCCGCCGGAAAUCCAAGAUGGCCAACGUCGACGUCGUCCGGGCGGAGGCGACCGUCGGGCCCAGGAGCCCCACCGUGUACGACUGGGUGGUGAUCAGUUCAUUGGACCGAUGAAGCAGCACGCCCAAGGUACGAAAUAAUCGACCGAUGCCGAUGAAGCAGAGGAGCUUAGCUGGUGUGUUUGAGGCCGUGUGUUCGUCAUGUCAUAUGCAUACCUGCUGUGUAAUCGUUGUGUUAAUUAGAUGCACUUUCCUUCUUCUUCUUUUUUAUGUAGUUGUGCGUCCCUUUGGGCUGCGAAAGUAUGUGAUGGCAGUAGCUCCGGUUGAGGCAAUCGAGAUGUUUUGCCUUCACGAGGCAAGGCACCUUUUGGUGUGUGUGGAGGAGAUGAGCGCUGAAAUGAGGAUGCAAUGCAAGUGUACAAUCAUGCUUCGUUUUCUUACUAUCAUUGUCCAUGUACUACCUCCGUCCCGGUGUAUAAGUCAUUCGCGUAGUUCUACGUCGAUAAUUUAACUAUCUAAAUAUGUAUUAUAUGUGACAAAAAAUAUAUAUUUAAAAA